rnacentral:rRNA from 1 species
GAUACCGAGGCUGUUGACCGAGUCUGCUUGCAGACGAAGUGAGUAAACGCGUCCCAGGAAAAGCCACUAAGCUUCAGCUAUACACGACCGUACCGCAAACCGACACUGGUGCGCGAGAUGAGUAUUCUAAGGCGCUUGAGAGAACUGCGGAGAAGGAACUCGGCAAAUUGACACCGUAACUUCGGGAGAAGGUGUGCCCUAGUAGUGUGAUGAGAACAUCUGAGCAUGAAGGGGUUGCAAAAAAUUGGUGGCUGCGACUGUUUAUUAAAAACACAGCACUCUGCAAACACGAAAGUGGACGUAUAGGGUGUGACGCCUGCCCGGUGCUGGAAGAUUAAUUGAUGGGGUGCAAGCUCUUGAUCGAAGUCCCAGUAAACGGCGGCCGUAACAAUAACGGUCCAAAGGUAGCGAAAUUCCUUGUCGGGUAAGUUCCGACCUGCACGAAUGGCGUAACGAUGGCCACACUGUCUCCUCCGCAGACUCAGCGAAGUUGAAAUGUUUGUGAUGAUGCAAUCUCCCCGCGGAAAGACGGAAAGACCCCAUGAACCUUUACUGUAGCUUUGUAUUGGACUUUGAACAGAUCUGUGUAGGAUAGGUGGGAGGCUUUGAAGUGUGGUCGCUAGAUCACAUGGAGCCAACGUUGAAAUACCACCCUGGUGUGUUUGAGGUUCUAACCUAGAUCCAUUAUCUGGAUCGGGGACCGUGCAUGGUAGGCAGUUUGACUGGGGCGGUCUCCUCCCAAAGUGUAACGGAGGAGUUCGAAGGUACGCUAGUUACGGUCGGACAUCGUGACGAUAGUGCAAUGGCAUAAGCGUGCUUAACUGCGAGACUGACAAGUCGAGCAGAUGCGAAAGCAGGACAUAGUGAUCCGGUGGUUCUGUAUGGAAGGACCAUCGCUCAACGGAUAAAAGGUACUCUGGGGAUAACAGGCUGAUACCGCCCAAGAGUUCAUAUCGACGGCGGUGUUUGGCACCUCGAUGUCGGCUCAUCUCAUCCUGGGGCUGUAGUCGGUCCCAAGGGUAUGGCUGUUCGCCAUUUAAAGAGGUACGUGAGCUGGGUUUAAAACGUCGUGAGACAGUUUGGUCCCUAUCUUCCGUGGGCGCUGCAGAUUUGAGGAAGCCUGCUCCUAGUACGAGAGGACCGGAGUGGACGCACCGCUGGUGUACCUGUUGUCACGCCCGUGGCAUCGCAGGGUAGCUAUGUGCUGAAGAGAUAACCGCUGAAAGCAUCUAAGCGGGAAACUCGUUCCAAGAUUAGAUCUGCCGGGGGCUUGACCCCCCUAAAGAGUCGUUCAAGACCAGGACGUUGAUAGGCUGGGUGUGCAAGUGCAGUAAUGCAUU